UUUCCAUGAUGUGGGAACUUCCUUUGCAACUCUUUAAAAUGUUCCCAAGCAUCAUAUAAAGACCCCCCAUCUAAUUGAUAAAAGUUAUUAAUCUCUCCUCUAUAUCG